rnacentral:rRNA from 1 species
GAUGAACGCUAGCGGCAGGCUUAAUACAUGCAAGUCGAGGGGCAGCAUGGUUGUAGCAAUACAACUGAUGGCGACCGGCAAACGGGUGCGGAACACGUACGCAAUCUACCCAGAACUGAUGAAUAGCCCUCCGAAAGGAGGAUUAAUACAUCGUAACAUAAUUGAAUGGCAUCAUUUAAUUAUUAUAGCUCCGGCGGUUUUGGAUGAGCGUGCGCCUGAUUAGGUAGUUGGCGGGGUAACGGCCCACCAAGCCUGCGAUCAGUAACUGGUGUGAGAGCACGACCAGUCACACGGGCACUGAGACACGGGCCCGACUCCUACGGGAGGCAGCAGUAAGGAAUAUUGGUCAAUGGACGCAAGUCUGAACCAGCCAUGCCGCGUGAAGGAUGAAGGUCCUCUGGAUUGUAAACUUCUUUUAUGUGGGACGAAACCCUGGUAUUCUUACCAGAUUGACGGUACCAUAGGAAUAAGCACCGGCUAACUCCGUGCC